AUGCAGAUGCAGACCAUCACCCUCCGCGCCGGCCCCUCCGCCCACCGCCUCGCGCCGCCGCCGGCGUCGGCCAGCUCCUCGAACCUCUCCGCCGGCCGAUGCUUCCUCCUGCGGCCUCCCCACUCCCGCUGCCGGCGGCCCCGCUCCAUCAGGGCCUCAGCUUCCCUUGAGCAGGAGGUCAAGGAGCGCGCCGACUCCCCGUCUCCGUCUGGGACUAGUAGUCAAGCAACUAGAAGAGAUGUGAGAAAUAUUGCAAUUGUUGCUCAUGUUGAUCAUGGGAAGACAACUUUGGUGGAUUCAAUGUUAAGACAAUCCAAGGUUUUCCGAGACAAUCAAGUUGUGCAGGAAAGGAUAAUGGACUCUAAUGAUCUGGAGAGGGAAAGAGGAAUUACUAUACUGAGCAAAAAUACAUCAAUAACCUAUAAGGGUACCAAAAUCAAUAUAAUUGAUACUCCUGGGCAUUCAGAUUUUGGUGGGGAGGUGGAACGUGUUCUCAACAUGGUGGAAGGAAUUCUCCUAGUGGUUGAUUCUGUGGAGGGACCUAUGCCACAAACAAGAUUUGUUCUGAAGAAAGCUCUAGAAUUUGGACAUGCUGUUGUGGUAGUUGUAAACAAGGUUGACAGACCUAUUGCUCGUCCAGAGUUUGUAGUUAAUUCAACGUUUGAGCUAUUUAUCGAAUUAAAUGCAACAGAUGAACAGUGUGAUUUCCAAACAGUCUAUGCAAUUGGCCUCAAAGGAAAGGCUGGGAUCUCCGCAGAUAAUCUGGCUGACGAUCUUGGACCCCUUUUUGAGGCUAUUCUUAGAUGUAUACCUGAACCACACAUUGAGAAAGAUGGUGCCCUCCAAAUGCUUGUAACUAGUACCGAAUAUGAUGAACAUAAAGGAAGGAUAGCAAUUGGACGACUGCAUGCAGGAGAACUAAAACGAGGCAUGGAAGUGAAGGUGUGUACACCAGAUGAUGCUUGUAGAAUUGGCAAAAUAGGUGAGCUUUUUGUGUACGAGAACUUCGGACGCGUUCCAGUUGAAUCUGUUAGUGCUGGUGACAUUUGUGCUGUAUGUGGAAUCAAUGAUAUCAUGAUUGGGGAAACUAUAGCUGAUAAAGUUUCUGGAACAGCGUUGCCCACUAUCAAAAUUGAGGAACCAACAGUUAGAAUGUCUUUCUCCAUCAACACUUCACCUUUUGUUGGAAAAGAGGGGAAAUUUGUCACUAGCCGAAAUCUUCGUGAUCGGCUAUAUCGUGAGCUUGAAAGGAACUUGGCUAUGAAAGUAGAAGACGGGGAAACUGCUGAUACAUUUCUUGUUAGUGGCAGAGGCACACUGCACCUCACCAUAUUGAUAGAGAACAUGCGGAGGGAAGGAUAUGAAUUUAUGAUUGGACCUCCAAAGGUCAUAAACAAGACAGUAAAUGGAAAGCUAUUGGAGCCAUAUGAGAUCGCUGCUAUAGAGGUUCCAGAGGAAUAUAUGGGAUCAGUUGUCGAGCUAUUGGGGAAAAGGCGCGGACAAAUGCUUGACAUGGAAGCUAGUGGGCCAGAGGGAACUUCAUUGCUGAAAUACAAGGUUCCAACCAGAGGCCUCAUUGGGCUCCGGAAUGCAAUUCUAACAGCUUCUAGGGGCAGAGCUAUACUUAACACAAUCUUUGACAGCUAUGGCCCGUGGGCUGGAGAUAUUAGUUCACGUGAUCAAGGCUCAUUGGUGGCAUUCGAAGGUGGAAGUACUACUUCUUAUGCUUGCGUUAAUGCACAAGAAAGAGGUAUACUAUUUGUCAAACCAGGGCAGGAUAUUUACAAAGGCCAGAUAGUUGGUAUCCAUCAGCGUCCAGGUGAUUUAGCACUUAAUGUGUGCAAGAAAAAGGCUGCAACUAAUGUCCGUUCCAACAAGGAAACUACAGUGGUUCUGGAUGAACCUUUAAGCUACAGUCUGGAUGACUGCAUAGAGUAUAUUCAAGAAGAUGAGCUAGUCGAGGUUACACCUGAGAGCAUCCGCAUGUCCAAGAACCCAAAAAUUUCGAAGAAGAAGAACAACUAG
rnacentral:rRNA from 1 species